rnacentral:rRNA from 1 species
UACGUGGAGGGCAAGCGUUGUCCGGAAUCAUUGGGCGUAAAGAGCGUGUAGGCGGCUCGGUAAGUCCGCUGUUGAAAGUCCAGGGCUCAACCCUGGAAUGCCGGUGGAAACUGUCGAGCUGAGAGUCCGGAAGAGGCGAGUGGAAUUCCUGGUGGUAGCGGUGAAAUGCGCAGAUAUCAGGAGGAACACCAUGGCGAAGGCAGCUCGCUGGGACGGUACUGACGCUGAGGCACGAAAGCGUGGGGAGCAAACAGG